UACGGAGGAUGCAAGCGUUAUCCGGAAUGAUUGGGCGUAAAGCGUCCGCAGGUGGCUAUGUAAGUCUGCUGUUAAAGAGUGAGGCUCAACCUCAUAAAAGCAGUGGAAACUACAUGGCUAGAGUGCGUUCGGGGCAGAGGGAAUUCCUGGUGUAGCGGUGAAAUGCGUAGAUAUCAGGAAGAACACCGGUGGCGAAAGCGCUCUGCUAGGCCGCAACCGACACUGAGGGACGAAAGCUAGGGGAGCGAAUGGG
rnacentral:rRNA from 1 species